rnacentral:rRNA from 1 species
GUCUGUGGCUAUACCACCCUGAACGUGCCCGAUCGCCUCUGAUCUCAGAAGCUAAGCAGGGUCGGGCCUGGUUAGUACUUGGAUGGGAGACACUUUCUGCACCUCAAGAAAUAUCUGCUGGGCAUCACCAUCU